rnacentral:rRNA from 1 species
AAAGAGAUGGCGACCGGCGCACGGGUGAGUAACACGUAUCCAACCUGCCGAUAACUCCGGAAUAGCCUUUCGAAGAAAGAUUAAUACCGGAUGGCAUACGAAUAUCGCAUGAUAUUUUUAUUUAAAGAAUUUCGGUUAUCGAUGGGGAUGCGUUCCAUUAGUUUGUUGGCGGGGUAACGGCCCACCAAGACUACGAUGGAUAGGGGUUCUGAGAGGAAGGUCCCCCACAUUGGAACUGAGACACGGUCCAA